rnacentral:rRNA from 1 species
AACGAACGCUGGCGGCAGGCUUAACACAUGCAAGUCGAACGCAUCCUUCGGGGUGAGUGGCAGACGGGUGAGUAACGCGUGGGAACGUGCCCUUCAGUUCGGGAUAACCCAGGGAAACUUGGGCUAAUACCGGAUACGUGCGAGAGCAGAAAGAUUUAUCGCUGAAGGAUCGGCCCGCGUCUGAUUAGCUAGUUGGUGAGGUAAUGGCUCACCAAGGCGACGAUCAGUAGCUGGUCUGAGAGGAUGAUCAGCCACAUUGGGACUGAGACACGGCCCAAACUCCUACGGGAGGCAGCAGUGGGGAAUCUUAGACAAUGGGCGCAAGCCUGAUCUAGCCAUGCCGCGUGAGCGAUGAAGGCCUUAGGGUUGUAAAGCUCUUUCAGGUGGGAAGAUAAUGACUGUACCACCAGAAGAAGCCCCGGCUAACUCCGUGCCAGCAGCCGCAGUAACAC